AUACGGAGGGUGCAAGCGUUAUCCGGAUUCAUUGGGUUUAAAGGGUGCGCAGGCGGAAUGAUAAGUCAGUGGUGAAAUCCUACAGCUUAACUGUAGAACUGCCAUUGAUACUGUCAUUCUUGAGUACAUUUGAAGUGGGCGGAAUGUAUCAUGUAGCGGUGAAAUGCAUAGAUAUGAUACAGAACUCCGAUAGCGAAGGCAGCUCACUAAAUUGUAACUGACGCUCAGGCACGAAAGCGUGGGGAGCAAACAGGAUUAGAUACCCUAGUAGUCC
rnacentral:rRNA from 1 species